rnacentral:rRNA from 1 species
AGAGUUUGAUCCUGGCUCAGGAUGAACGCUAGCGGCAGGCCUAAUACAUGCAAGUCGAGGGGCAGCACAGGUAGCAAUACUGGGUGGCGACCGGCAAACGGGUGCGGAACACGUACGCAACCUUCCUUUGAGCGGGGAAUAGCCCAUAGAAAUGUGGAUUAAUACCCCGUAAUAUCGUUGUCAGGCAUCUGAUGGCGAUUAAAGCUCCGGCACUCGAAGAUGGGCGUGCGUCUGAUUAGGUAGUUGGUGAGGUAACGGCUCACCAAGCCGACGAUCAGUAACUGGCGUGUGAGCGCGACCAGUCACACGGGCACUGAGACACGGGCCCGACUCCUACGGAAGGCAGCAGGAAGGAAUAUUGGUCAAUGGACGCAAGUCUGAACCAGCCAUGCCGCGUGGAGGAUGAAGGUCCUCUGGAUUGUAAACUUCUUUUAUCUGGGAAGAAAUGUCGGUUUUCUAACUGGCUUGACGGUACCAGAUGAAUAAGCACCGGCUAACUCCGUGCCAGCAGCCGCGGUAAUACGGAGGGUGCAAGCGUUAUCCGGAUUCACUGGGUUUAAAGGGUGCGUAGGCGGAUUUGUAAGUCCGUGGAGAAAUCUCCGAGCUUAACUCGGAAACUGCCAUGGAUACUAUAAGUCUUGAAUGUUGUGGAGGUUUGCGGAAUAUGUCAUGUAGCGGUGAAAUGCUUAGAUAUGACAUAGAACACCGAUUGCGAAGGCAGCAGGCUACACAAAUAUUGACGCUGAGGCACGAAAGCGUGGGGAUCAAACAGGAUUAGAUACCCUGGUAGUCCACGCCCUAAACGAUGAUUACUCGACAUUUGCGAUACACAGCANGUGUCUGAGCGAAAGCAUUAAGUAAUCCACCUGGGAAGUACGACCGCAAGGUUGAAACUCAAAGGAAUUGACGGGGGCCCGCACAAGCGGCGGAGCAUGUUGCUUAAUUCGACGCAACGCGAAGAACCUUACCAAGGCUUGACAUUGCCCGGAAACACUCAGAGAUGGGUGCCUCUUCGGAUCGGGUGACAGGUGGUGCAUGGCUGUCGUCAGCUCGUGUCGUGAGAUGUUGGGUUAAGUCCCGCAACGAGCGCAACCCUUGUUCAAUGUUGCCAGCACGCUCCUUCGGGGGUGGUGGGGACUCAUUGGAGACUGCCGGGGUCAACUCGGAGGAAGGUGGGGAUGACGUCAAGUCAUCAUGCCCCUUAUGUCUUGGGCUGCAAACAUGCUACAAUGGCCGGUACAGAGGGCUGCGAUACCGCAAGGUGGAGCGAAUCCCUAAAAGCCGGUCUCAGUUCGGAUUGGGGUCUGCAACUCGACCCCAUGAAGUCGGAGUCGCUAGUAAUCGCAGAUCAGCAACGCUGCGGUGAAUACGUUCCCGGGCCU